UAUUUUUCUAUCUAUAAUAGAAAAUCUACAGUUUUUAGAGUUUAUACGAUUCAUCAAGGGAAAAUCAAUUGCGGGGAGGUUAUAAUUCCUCAAAAAAAAUGUCGAAUUAACAGUAGUGUUUAUACGAUUCAUCAAAGGAAAAGCAAUAGCCGGGAGGCUACACAGUUAUUUAUCGAGCAAAAUAGCACAAUAUUUGAAGCUUUCCUUGGGUUUAUUUCCACAAUUUUAAGUAUUUGCUAGAAAAUCUACAAAAGGCGAAAAGAGAAUUUAAUUUAUUUGAUGUGCCUACACUUAAUAAAUAAAUAAUGGUAUGUAAGUAAAAGGGACCCUCAUAAAGAAAAGUGUAUUUGCGUAUUGCGUAAAAACAAAAGGUAUAAAUUAAAAUCAGUAAUUGUUCAUUUUUCAGUAUUAAAAUUUUUACUAAUUAGGCAACACAUCAUGCACAACGAGUUUAAAAUAGAAAUUUUCGUAUUUAUUAAUUUGUUUACGAUCUAGUAUUGAAAUAAUGUUAUUAUAUAAGUUUAUUUUAUAAAUAAACACUUUGUUGCUUCAA